GCCUGACUGGCUCAGUUGGUAGAGCAUGAAAUUCUUGAUCUCUGGUUGUGAGUUCAAGCCACACGUUGGGGG
rnacentral:tRNA from 1 species